AUGCAUUUUAGCAGAAGCGGAGGGAGCAACACCAGCCCCACUACCUCUGAUCUGAGCGCUCAUCUGAAUUCAAGGCUCCGUUCCACCUCACCAAAUCACAGCUUUGUCUCCAGUGAAGGAUUAACAGGCAAAGAUAUAAACUCUGCUGUUGCAGUGUGUCUCAACCAUCCCUGGAGACAGGCUUCUCCCGAUGGAACUGCAAGCACAGGUGAGCCUUGGGUUUUGGGUCCCUUUUCUUUCAAACAAUUUUCACCCUCAAAAUCAGGGCAGGUAAAUCCAGGCACAGCAGCUGAUGCCAAUUGUCACACAGUGACAACAUUGCCAGGAAAAGGCUCUGUGCAAGUCCUGGCACUUGUGAUACAUGAUUGCAUAAAUUAUGCGCUCUGCUGAGCUCAGCAGGCCACGGGCAGUUUUAAGAAGCGAGCGUAGGCGCUAGCAGCCAGCUGGUCAGAGGCGAUGGCUCAGCUCUGUGGAUUGGGGUCARGAUGGUUUUUGAUGCUGCAAUACAUCUUAAAGCAGCAGUUCCAGGGAAGUAAUUUGCUGACUACAAGACUGUAUUUUUUUUUCCUUCCAGCGCUGUUUUUUUGCUUUUUGCAGACUCAGGCUCCCUCUGGUUUGUGGGAAGAGCUAAGUGUGAUGUCAUUAAUAUMGUAUUGCCCUGGGUCCAGAAAAACGUGGGAACCAGUCUCUGAAUUUGUGUGCUUGUCCAUACUGCUUGUUCACAGCCUGAAGAUCAUUCCACAGCAGGGAUCCUGYGCCCUGUGGAAGCUUAUGACUCUCCCAGGGAAAGGGGAAACCUUCAGGUGGUGAGAAGUGCGAAGGAGUUGUACUGGGCUGUGGCAGGGCAGAUGCACUUCCCAUGAAAUAUUCAUUGUUUGGAGAAUGAAGAAGGAAAAUGUUGGUUGUGUAUGUACAUCCCUGUGUGCCAGGAUUUUCAAGCUCAUGGUGUAGGCCAGUGCUUCUUAUCCUUGUCAAGAGAAAGAUGAUUUAUCCUUUCUUUAAAAAAAAAAAAAAACCUAACUACUUUGAGGGUGGAGAAGAGACACCAAGGAUUAUUUAAGUGGUGUUGCCACAGUGGUCGUMUUUCGCAGUCAAAUAAGAUAAAUUUGACUUUUCCUUAAUUUCCCCUCUGUUUCUUUGUUUGAYGGCAUGCCUGAGAGCAUAAAUGCCUUCACUGCAAAAAAAUAUUCCAGCUCUCUAGGCGGCCCCAGGGAUGGCCCUAGGCCACAGCUUUGGAAAUCUGGUGCUUUCUGCUCCCCCCAGAAAGCCUCUGAGAUGCCUUCCUUGAUUUUCUCUUCUCUCCCACCCUACUCUAGGGCUCUUUAACUGUCUGGCUSCUUCACUGUGACAUUUCAAUCCUGAAGGAAUUCAGUUUGAAAGCCUCUCUCACCAGUUCAUGGGAAGGUAAUGUUGACUUCUGGAAACAGAAUGAAAUAAAGAACAUCARAGCAGUACUUCGAUACUCCA
rnacentral:lncRNA from 1 species